rnacentral:rRNA from 1 species
ACUCCUACGGGAGGCAGCAGUAAGGAAUAUUGCGCAAUGGACGACAAUCUGACGCAGCGACGCCGCGUGGGGGAUGAAGGUCUUCGGAUUGUAAACCCCUUUCGGGUGGAAAGAUGGCUCUCGACAACGAGAGCGGACGGUACCACCAGAAGCAGCCACGGCCAACUUCGUGCCAGCAGCCGCGGUAAUACGAAGGUGGCAAGCGUUGUUCGGAUUCACUGGGCGUACAGGGUGUGUAGGCGGUUCGGUAAGCCCUCUGGGAAAGCUCCUGGCUCAACCGGGAAAGUUCAGGGGGGACUGCCGGGCUAGAGGACGGGAGAGGAGCGCGGAAUUCCCG